AUUGAACGCUGGCGGCAGGCCUAACACAUGCAAGUCGAGCGGAUGAAGGGAGCUUGCUCCUGGAUUCAGCGGCGGACGGGUGAGUAAUGCCUAGGAAUCUGCCUGGUAGUGGGGGAUAACGUCCGGAAACGGGCGCUAAUACCGCAUACGUCCUGAGGGAGAAAGUGGGGGAUCUUCGGACCUCACGCUAUCAGAUGAGCCUAGGUCGGAUUAGCUAGUUGGUGGGGUAAAGGCCUACCAAGGCGACGAUCCGUAACUGGUCUGAGAGGAUGAUCAGUCACACUGGAAUUGAGACACGGUCCAGACUCCUACGGGAGGCAGCAGUGGGGAAUAUUGGACAAUGGGCGAAAGCCUGAUCCAGCCAUACCGCGUGUGUGAAGAAGGUCUUCGGAUUGUAAAGCACUUUAAGUUGGGAGGAAGGGCAGUAAGUUAAUACCUUGCUGUUUUGACGUUACCAACAGAAUAAGCACCGGCUAACUUCGUG
rnacentral:rRNA from 1 species